GACGAACGCUGGCGGCGUGCUUAACACAUGCAAGUCGAACGGAAAGGCCCCUUUGGGGGUCCUCGAGUGGCGAACGGGUGAGUAACACGUGAGUAACCUGCCCUUGACUUCGGGAUAACUUCAGGAAACUGGGGCUAAUACCGGAUAGGAAUCCUUGCUGCAUGGUGGGGGUUGGAAAGCUUCGGCGGUUUUGGAUGGACUCGCGGCUUAUCAGCUUGUUGGUGGGGUAGUGGCUUACCAAGGCUUUGACGGGUAGCCGGCCUGAGAGGGCGACCGGCCACAUUGGGACUGAGAUACGGCCCAGACUCCUACGGGAGGCAGCAGUGGGGAAUAUUGCACAAUGGGCGGAAGCCUGAUGCAGCAACGCCGCGUGCGGGAUGACGGCCUUCGGGUUGUAAACCGCUUUCAGCAGGGGCGAAGCUUGUGGUGACGGAACCUGCAGAAGAAGCACCGGCUAACUACGUG
rnacentral:rRNA from 1 species